rnacentral:rRNA from 1 species
AUGGCAAGGGCGUCGGAUCAGCUGGAGGAGCUGUGCAGCUCCGGAGGAGGCUUGACCCUGUACACCACGAGGAAGCACGGGAGCACGGCGCGCCGGUCCAGCACCACCAGCUCGCCGUCCCCCGGGUCCGCCGAGUCGUACUCGCCGGGGUGCUCGUCGGUGGAGCCGCGACGGACGCGGCCGGCGAUGACGCGGCACACCAGCAUGCCCCUGCGGCCCUCGUGGCUUCCGCCCCCGGCGCCCGCGUCCGCCGCGCCGCUGCCGGCGAACGUGCGCACGGCCCUGGCCGCGCCGGCCUGGUGGCACGUAGCGACGGUCGCGCAGAUCACCUCGCUGCCGCCCCCGGCCUCCGCGGCGGGGCGGCACUGGAACCGCAUCAUCUCGUUGCCGUCGGCGGCGCACCGCGCGUCGCCCGCGGCCUCGCCGCGCGCCCGGGCGGCGGCGCGAGCGCACUCGAAGCGCGCCACCGCGCGCGCCGUGCUGUGCACCCGGAAGAGCACCUCCACCUCCGCGGCUCCGUCGGUGCGCGCCCAGCCCGACGCGAAGAUGAGCUCGACCACGCGCCGCGACGGGUGGCCCUCGGGCAGCUCCGUCAUCUCCAGGAGAGCCGAGCUCGGCCGCUCCAGCGACGCCGCGAGCGGCAGCCUCGGCUUCUCCUUCCUCGCGAGCUCGGACGUGGCGUCCUCCUUCUUCUUCAUCUUCCUAGCAGUAGCAGUAGCGGUAGGAGGCCGGUCCCGCUCGCUGGACAUGGACCUAGACCGCCGACUCUCCCUGCCCCUCUCCGGCGGCAGCAACGCGACGGAGGCAGCACCCUUGACCGUCGGCGUCGGCGGGUGCUUCUUGGGCGGGGGCAGGAGCGGGCUGUACGCGUCGUCGGCGACGGCGGUAGAGUACUUGCAGCUGAGGGAGCGCACCCACGCCGUCGCCGCGGCCAUUGCCGGCGAGGUACUGUGCAAGAUGGACGGAAGCCCAGCACGGCGGCGCGCCGUAUAA